UUGCACAGUGAGCAUCCAAGUGUGCUUCGUAGUUCCCUUGGCCUUGACACUGUGCUAGAGCAAUGUCUGGUCUUUUCGUCUGCACUGAAAGGCACGUUCAUCCUUUCAAAUGUAUUCAAAAGGCCAGCACACCU
ensembl:snoRNA